GACGAACGCUGGCGGCGUGCUUAACACAUGCAAGUCGAACGGAAGGGCCCUGCUUUUGUGGGGUGCUCGAGUGGCGAACGGGUGAGUAACACGUGAGUAACCUGCCCUUGACUUUGGGAUAUCUUCAGGCAACUGGGGCUAAUACCGGAUAGGAGCUCCUGCUGCAUGGUGGGGGUUGGACAGUUUCGGCGGUUGUGGAUGGACUCGCGGCUUAUCAGCUUGUUGGUGGGGUAGUGGCUUACCAAGGCGUUGACGGGUAGACGGCCUGAGAGGGUGAGCGGCCACAUUGGGACUGAGGUACGGCCCAGACUGCUACGGGAGGCAGCAGUGGGGAAUAUUGCACAAUGGGCGGAAGCCUGAUGCAGCAACGCCGCGUGCGGGAUGACGGCCUUCGGGGUGUAAACCGCUUUCGCCUGUGACGAAGCGUGAGUGACGGUAAUGGGUAAAGAAGCACCGGCUAACUACGUG
rnacentral:rRNA from 1 species